GCAUUGGUGAUUCAGUGGUAGAAUUCUCGCCUGCCAUAAGGGAGACCCGGGUCCGAUUCCUGGCCAAUGCA
rnacentral:tRNA from 1 species